UCUGACACCCUCACCAGGGCCAAAAAAACUUUCCAAUGUAUUCAUCAUCAUCGGGGUGGUUGGUUUUUUUUUCCCCUGUCCUAUCCUCUUCUCCAGACCACUUAUCUCUGCCCCCUCCUCUCUCCGCGCACCAGCGCAGCCUUCCCCCGAUCUGCCCCUUUAAGACAGACGCGCAGCGCUCCGACCCCUCCGCGCAGCGCCCCUCGGAGCGGACAGUGCCCGCGGACCCGGGUGCCAUCCCCGAACGAGGUGCCGCUGGGAGCGCUCCCGAGGGAACGGUCGCUGCCUCGCCGGGGGAAGCCGAGAGACCCACGGACAGCCGAGAACAGGGGGGUGAGAAACCAAAUAUAUAUAGAUGUACGAUCAUAACACCAGUAAACCCAAACGGUGCCCGUCGUCCCCGGAAGGGAAGGUGGAGGGAGAGCGGGCAGCUCCUCUUUGAAGAAAGGAGCGAAGUGUAAAUAGCCCGGUGAUUGAUGUGCUGUCUUUGACUGCGGAGAAAGCACUGUUUGAAUUCAAGUGGCCAGGUCAGAUGGUCACGGAAGAAGGUUGAAAGGUAGGAUUUAAUGAGAUUAAUAUGGAGAGAGGGAAAGCGCGCGCCUUCGCCAAGCUUCCCCAAAAUAAAGGGCUACGGGGACGCGCUGAUGGCCGCGCACCGACGGGGGAACCCGGAGCGCAGCCUCCGCGGGUGCGCCCGGAGCCGCAGGUGGGACUGGGGGCCGCGCUGCCCCUCCGCAGUGACCUCCGGCUGCGGCUGGGAGCGGCGCAGGGCCCGGCGGGUGUCGGAGCCCGCGUUAGAGGGACGGCGGCGGAACGGGAGCCCGAACGCAACCCCCGCGUCCGGAGGAAGGGAAGGAGCAGCCACGUGUCGCCCGAACGCUGAAGCGGUGCGCGGAGGUUCCUUCCUCGGAACGCGUGGGGAGACCCGGGCGUGGGUAAACCGAGCCGAGCCGCUCCGGGAAACGGGAUCCCUCGUGGCUGCGAUUCGCUGAAAUAUUUCUCCCCGCGACCUCGGCGGCUGCUUCUCUCCGAGGGGAAGGGAAAAGCGCAGCUUCGAAACGCUGCCCCGUUCAUUUCUGCCCUUUCCCGGCGGCCCCGACCCGAAGGAACGCCGCGCUCAGGUGAGCGCUCCGUGAGCCCCGGGCCGGGAACACGGCGAGCUCCGCGGAUCUGCGCGGGGCUCAAUACGGCCCCGCAGGGAAUUGUGCUGGGGACAAAGCCCUGCACCCCCGAGUUCCGAUUCUCCACAGCAAAUAGUUCAGUUCCUGCGGUAAAUGAGAGCGCAGCAGAGCCGCGCGUCACCGAGACCCACUCGCGAGUAUUUUAAGAGAUGAGAAAUGUUUUCGGGGCUGUGUGUACGCGGACACUCACCCUCCCACCCCCCCACCCCCCCCAAAAAAAAAAAAAAAAGCUUUAUUUGACUCUUCUGCAAAGGAAGGCACCGAGGAGCGAUCGAAAGAUCGAAAAUCGCCGCGCGUCCCGGCGCCGCGUGGCCGAGCCGAGCCCUCGCGUUUCUGUUCUCCUGUUUCCUUCUUGCUGCUGCCGCGGUGCUGGGGGGGGGGAGGGGGCAGCGGGGGUCCCUGCGAUGGGGGGUUGAGAGGCGAGGGGUAAAAAGAAAACGAAGAAAAAAAAAUUGAAGGGAACGAAUUUUUAAGCGAGGUGCGCUGGCAGAGGACGGCAGAGCUGUGCCGGCCCCGAGCGGCGCGUCCCCGCCGGCACCGGGCGCAGUGCGGGGCUCGGGGCACAACCACAGCCGUUCCCAUCCCGCAGCGGCGCAGCCUACACCUGUUGGAGCGCUUCCACCCAGAAUGGGAAAUUAAUGAGCGGGGAGGGAGGGAGGAAGGGAGAGGGGCCCGGCCCGGGUGGCCUCAAGGAGCCCGCAGCGCCCGGCCCCGCUGGGAGACCCCCGCGGGGCGAUGCGCAGAAAAGCGCAUCCCGGACCCUUCUCCCCUCUGUGCCAGGGGUCCGACCCAGGGCUGAGGCCAACGGAACCCGCGUAUUAAGGCUCUACAGAGCCCACCUCUGGCUGCUGUUCGCAGCUCCGUGUCUGCUUCCCGGCCCCGCUGCCACCCGUUGCAGCACCGGGCGCCGCACGAACUGCGGAGGGGCGGCGAUGCGCUACGGGCACCGCGAACCCCAUCCUAAGGGCAGCCCCGUCCCCAGCGGCCCUCGGGCUCACGGGGAGGCGGGGAGAAUCGGGACACGGCCCUUCGCCACUUGUUGUGCCCAAGUUUAAGCACUAAAGAAGAUUAAAAUGGUUGGGACGGCGCGGCUCGGCGGCAUCUCCGCACACGCAGCGGAACCCUUCUCCCGUCCCGAGGAUUUGCGCAUAAAUUCCUCAUUGUUUCCGCGCAGCAUCGCGGGGAGAUUAGAGCAGGAAUUAAUAUUUUAAACUACGCAAAUGCCCGUGGCACAGGACGGGUCAGCGAGCCCCGAGAAUGUCACACGCUUCCCCGGAGCUUUUCCCUUUCUAAUCUGCCAUUAAUAAGCGGAGGAAGCACCCACACAACGACCACAUUGUAAUUAAGGGCUGCCUUAAACGCACGCAAUCAAAGAGCCGCUCGCCCCGCCGGUGCCAAGGAAUUUCAUCACCUUUCGGGCCCGGCUGCGUGCUGCGGGCACAAGGGGGCGGAUAAGGACAGCGCUGGGGGCGGCGGGCAGCGCACCCCGACCCCGCACCCCGCCUCAGCCUCCCUAAACCCUUCAAGAUCUCCUUCCCGAAGAAUUUCCCCCGCUCCUUUUUCAAGUGCUUUUGUUAUAUUUAUUCUUCCUACUUAUUUUUAUUAUUCUCAGAUGCCUUUCAGAAUGACUGGGAAGCACAAGGACAGAAAAACGCGUUUUGUGCAUCAGCCGCGCUGCUUUGCGCUCUCACACUCCCUCAAUUUAUCUGCGCGCAAAAGCCGCGCAGCGCAGCGCUCUCCUGCAGCUCGCUGCCCCACCAACACCUCUCCCUGCACCGAAACACGCUCAGCAGACGCUGCCCUUCUUAUUUCUAGCAGAAGCUCUGGCUCUCCCAGCCCUGUAAACACGCGGUAUAAAUCGGCCCUUUCGGAUUUUCCCCCCAAACCGUUCCCAGCCCCAGAAAUUCCUCCGAAUUCGUUACGCUGGUCGAGGCCGCGCUUUGCAGGGCCGGGGAAAGGUAACAUCGCCCGUCUGAAAAUAACGAGUCACGACAAGAAAAGCGACGUUCACGUGUGAAUAUCGAACUUCAACCGUAUUGUUACCGCCGCCGUAAAAGAAACGCAGCAGCUUGCUUUAUUCCAGGAGAGCGCGGCCAUUAAAGAGAACUUGAGGAACCCUAA